rnacentral:rRNA from 1 species
CGCCUUGCCAGCCCGCUCAGAACUUAAGGAAUUGACGGGGCCGCACAAGCGGUGGAGUAUGUGGUUUAAUUCGAUGCAACGCGAAGAACCUUACCUGGUCUUGACAUCCCGGAGACCCUUAGGAAACUAGGGGGUGCUUCCAUCUGGAAGAAUCUGGAGACAGGUGCUGCAUGGCUGUCGUCAGCUCGUGUCGUGAGAUGUUGGGUUAAGUCCCGCAACGAGCGCAACCCUUGCCUUUAGUUGCCAGCAGUUCGGCUGGGCACUCUAAAGGGACUGCCGGUGUUAAACCGGAGGAAGGUGGGGAUGACGUCAAGUCCUCAUGGCCUUUAUGACCAGGGCUACACACGUACUACAAUGGCCGAUACAAAGGGCAGCGACACUGCGAGGUGAAGCCAAUCCCGUAAAAUCGGUCUCAGUCCGGAUUGGAGUCUGCAACUCGACUCCAUGAAGUUGGAAUCGCUAGUAAUCGUGGAUCAGCAUGCCACGGUGAAUACGUUCCCGGGCCUU